GACGAACGCUGGCGGCGUGCUUAACACAUGCAAGUCGAACGGAAAGGCCCUGCUUUUGUGGGGUGCUCGAGUGGCGAACGGGUGAGUAACACGCGAGUAACCUGCCCUUGACUUUGGGAUAACUUCAGGAAACUGGGGCUAAUACCGGAUAGGAGCUCCUGCUGCAUGGUGGGGGUUGGAAAGAUUCGGCGGUUGGGGAUGGACUCGCGGCUUAUCAGCUUGUUGGGGGGGUAGUGGCUUACCAAGGCUUUGACGGGUAGCCGGCCUGAGAGGGUGACCGGCCACAUUGGGACUGAGAUACGGCCCAGACGCCUACGGGAGGCAGCAGUGGGGAAUAUUGCACAAUGGGCGGAAGCCUGAUGCAGCAACGCCGCGUGCGGGAUGACGGCCUUCGGGUUGUAAACCGCUUUCGCCUGUGACGAAGCGUGAGUGACGGUAAUGGGUAAAGAAGCACCGGCUAACUACGUG
rnacentral:rRNA from 1 species